CCCUUAGAGUUUGAUCCUGGCUCAGGACGAACGCUGGCGGCGUGCCUAAUACAUGCAAGUCGAGCGAGCUUGCCUAGAUGAAUUUGGUGCUUGCACCAAAUGAAACUAGAUACAAGCGAGCGGCGGACGGGUGAGUAACACGUGGGUAACCUGCCCAAGAGACUGGGAUAACACCUGGAAACAGAUGCUAAUACCGGAUAACAACACUAGACGCACGUCUAGAGUUUAAAAGAUGGUUCUGCUAUCACUCUUGGAUGGACCUGCGGUGCAUUAGCUAGUUGGUAAGGUAACGGCUUACCAAGGCAAUGAUGCAUAGCCGAGUUGAGAGACUGAUCGGCCACAUUGGGACUGAGACACGGCCCAAACUCCUACGGGAGGCAGCAGUAGGGAAUCUUCCACAAUGGACGCAAGUCUGAUGGAACAACGCCGCGUGAGUGAAGAAGGGUUUCGGCUCGU
rnacentral:rRNA from 1 species